CCCUCCGCGCCCGCCGGGGCCGAGCUCCUCACCUGCCCUCCGCCCACCCGCGGGCCCUUGGCCAACUUCUCCCCGCAACCGGGGAUAACGGGCAGUUCUUGCCUUUCCUCCUGUCCCGAAGCCAUCUGCAUGUCUCCGGACACCUGAACACCCCACUCCGGUCCCGCCGAGGAGGCUCUCCCAGGGGGGAGCGGAGCAUCGGUCCCGCUCGCUCCGUCCAUCCACCCCGAUCGCCGACUCCUCACCUCCCGGGCGCGUCCCCUCCUUUUCCUGCGGGGGAGGAGGAUGGGGUUGGAAACGCUUUCCCCGAGGAUGCUCUGGUGGCUGGUGGCCUCGGGGAUUGUUUUUUACGGGGAGCUGUGGGUCUGCGCUGGCUUCGAUUAUGAUUACACUUUCGAUGGGAACCCAGAGGAUAAAGCGGAGACGAUAGAUUACAAGGACCCGUGCAAAGCCGACUGACCACUGCUCUAAGCAGUGUUGGGGCAAUGCCUGGGCUGCCCGAGCCCUUGAAGUUCAAGAAGAAGCACCUGGACUUCUCAUGAUGGGAGGUCAGAGUCAAUCUGUGUUUUGGGGUGAUAUUGCCUUGGAUGAUGAAGACUUAAACAUCUUUCAAAUUGAUAGAACAAUUGACCUUACCCAGAAUCCCUUUGGAAAACUUGGACAUACCACAGGUAUCCUUGAUUAUUUGAUUACUUAUGUAUCAUUUUGGAAUAAAUAUACUGUUAAAAUGCUAUAAACACUCUUUAGGCCAUUUUUAAUGUUUUACUGAUCAACUCUGAUUUCCUGCACACAUGUGAGCAUGUUUAGAAAUUUAGGC
rnacentral:lncRNA from 1 species